AGGGUCGGAUAUGAAAUAAAAACAAAAGAUGCUUAAUUGCUUCAUCGCCAAGUUGAACAGCUUGGUUAGAAUACAUGUGUAUGAUUGCUGUAAUGUAAAACAGAUUUAAGGAAUUAACCCGAAUCUUGUUAUUGAAGCUCAUACACUGUUGAAAUUGUAAUAUAAAAGUAUAACAAAUUCAUUGUUACGACCUC
rnacentral:misc_RNA from 1 species